UACGUAGGGGGCUAGCGUUGUCCGGAUUUAUUGGGCGUAAAGAGCGUGUAGGCGGCCAUGUAGGUCCGGUGUGAAAACUCGAGGCUUAACCUCGAGAUGUCAUCGGAAACCAUUUGGCUAGAGUCCGGAAGAGGAGAGUGGAAUUCCUGGUGUAGCGGUGAAAUUCGUAGAUAUCGGGAGGAACACCAGUGGCGAAGGCGGCGACCUGGACAGAUAUUGACGCUGAGGUGCGAAAGCGUGGGGAGCAAACAGG
rnacentral:rRNA from 1 species